rnacentral:misc_RNA from 1 species
GUAAACGAUUUAAUCGUACUCAGACAAAACAUACACUAUCCACGAGUAGGGGCCCUCUGGCACAGCCCAAGCCUGGAACCACCCAGGCGAGAGCCGUACCAAAGCAACAGAGGUAGAAUAAACAAAGGGUUAAAGAAGUAGCCACCCGGGCUUCCCUCUCCCUGAUGUGAACCCAAGGUCCAGGCAUCAGGGCCCCCAGGACAGGCAGAGCCUGUACGCUGAGGUUUGCACCGGGCUCGACUCUAUUGGCAUGAUAUGGGCCAGGCCCAGUCAUCAGUAAUGAUCCUUCCGCAGGUUCACCUACGGAAA